GUGCUAAUGAAAUGUGAAUCCAAGCUGUGUACCUAAAUGGUGGUACAAAAGAAAUGAAAAUAAUCAACUGUUAUGCCAAAAUUCAAAGGCUUCCACCAACAAAGAAUGAAAAAAAUAGGACAAUUUUAAGUAAAGCCAUAUUCAGUAUCUACUACAGAGCCCAUUAAUUCUAUAUAACCCCAUACCACAAAGGGAAAAGAGGGGUGGUUACAAUUCUUGGGAACUUGAAAACGUAGUAUCCAUUCAGAUUUUUCUUGUAUCAUUUCUUCAGGUUGAUUCUCAGUCUAUCCUGGAUAUUAACAUUAACAUUUUGGUGGAAAUAUUGAAAUAUGGAUCAGCAUUUGCAUCCCCUCCUCCUAGGCUGGAUACAAGAUGUUUCAUCCCCAAUUUGGAGAUCCUGCUGCAAAGUCUCUUGGACAGCAAAAGGUUACUGUUGUCAGGGCUGACGAAACCAAAGCAUUGGUUCUCAUGCAAUGUGAUGCAUAUGAACAGGACUUACAUGAAUACAUCGAAUAAACUCAACGUGAAAGGUUUGAGGACGGGUACAUUGAUAAAUUGCAAUCUAGGGUUAAAUGUUUUGCCCAUACUAAGCUAACAGGGUGCCAAGCAUUUUAUAACAUAGUUCUUGACUCCCCAGAUAUCCCUAACUUAUUUACGUUUGCAAAGACCCAUAAACAUGGGCAAUACCUCCAUCUGGUUGUGGACAAAGCCAGAGCACCCACUUGUCUGCUGGAAAAGGCCACCCAUGCCCUUCUCUAGAGAGGGAUAUCCUUAUGUCAUCACAAGCACAG